GAUGAAGAACGCAGCGAAAUGCGAUAAGUAGUGUGAAUUGCAGAAUUCAGUGAAUCAUCGAAUCUUUGAACGCACAUUGUGCCCCUUGGUAUUCCAUGGGGCAUGCCUGUUCGAGCGUCAUUUGUACCUUCAAGCUUUGCUUGGUGUUGGGUGUUUGUCCCGAGGGACUCGCCUUAAAGUAAUUGGCAGCCAGUGUUUGGUUUUGAAGCGCAGCACAAGUCGCGAUUCAAGGCUACACGCCCGCUUCCACAAGCCUUUUUUCACUUUUGACCUCGGAUCAGGUAGGGAUACCCGCUGAACUUAAGCAUAUCAAUAAGCGGAGGA
rnacentral:misc_RNA from 1 species